UACGGGGGGAGCAAGCGUUGUUCGGAUUUACUGGGCGUAAAGGGCGCGUAGGCGGUCGUGACAAGUCACUUGUGAAAUCUCCGGGCUUAACUCGGAACGGUCAAGUGAUACUGUCGGACUAGAGUACAGAAGGGGCAACUGGAAUUCUCGGUGUAGCGGUGAAAUGCGUAGAUAUCGAGAGGAACGCCUGCGGCGAAGGCGGGUAGCUGGGCCGACACUGACGCUGAUGCGCGAAAGCCAGGGGAGCGAACUGG
rnacentral:rRNA from 1 species